GACGAACGCUGGCGGCGUGCUUAACACAUGCAAGUCGAACGGACAGACAGAGAGCUUGCUCUCUUGAAGUUAGUGGCGAACGGGUGAGUAACGCGUAAUCAACCUGCCCUUCAGAGGGGGAUAACAACGGGAAACCGUUGCUAAUACCGCGUACGAUUCAUGAACGGCAUCGUUUAUGAAUGAAAGGUGGCCUCUAUGUAUAAGCUAUCGCUGAAGGAGGGGAUUGCGUCUGAUUAGCUAGUUGGAGGGGUAACGGCCCACCAAGGCAAUGCACAGUAGCCGGUCUAAUGGGAUGAACGGCCACAUUGGGACUGAGACACGGCCCAAACUCCUACGGGAGGCAGCAGUGGGGAAUCUUCCGCAAUGGACGAAAGUCUGACGGAGCAACGCCGCGUGAGUGAUGAAGGUCUUCGGAUUGUAAAGCUCUGUUAAUCGGGACGAGAGAGUUCUGCGUGAAUAAUGCAGAAAAGUGACGGUACCGGAAUAGAAAGCCACGGCUAACUACGUGCCAGCCGCCGCAGUAA
rnacentral:rRNA from 1 species